rnacentral:rRNA from 1 species
AUUGAACGCUGGCGGCAGGCUUAACACAUGCAAGUCGAGCGGGGUGAUGGUGCUUGCACUAUCACUUAGCGGCGGACGGGUGAGUAAUGCUUAGGAAUCUGCCUAUUAGUGGGGGACAACAUCUCGAAAGGGAUGCUAAUACCGCAUACGUCCUACGGGAGAAAGCAGGGGAUCACUUGUGACCUUGCGCUAAUAGAUGAGCCUAAGUCGGAUUAGCUAGUUGGUGGGGUAAAGGCCUACCAAGGCGACGAUCUGUAGCGGGUCUGAGAGGAUGAUCGGCGAGACUGGGACUGAGACACGGCCCAGACUCCUACGUGAGGCAGCAGUGGGGAAUAUUGGACAAUGGGGGGAACCCUGAUCCAGCCAUGCCGCGUGUGUGAAGAAGGCCUUAUGGUUGUAAAGCACUUUAAGCGAGGAGGAGGCUCUUUUGGUUAAUACCCAAGAUGAGUGGACGUUACUCGCAGAAUAAGCACCGGCUAACUCUGUGCCAGCCGCCGCGGUAA